rfam:Triticum aestivum genome assembly, contig: Triticum_aestivum_CS42_TGACv1_scaffold_320496_4BL
GAAAUACUCCCCCCGUCUCAAAAUUCUUGUCUUAGAUUUGUCUAGAUAUGUAUGUAUCUAAUACUAAAACGUGACUUGAUACAUCCGUAUCUAGACAAAUAUAAGACAUGAAUUUUGGGAAGGAGGGAGUAGGUU